CAUAAUUCAUGCAGUUUUCUGUGUAUAUGUCUAGUUUUAAGAGUUUACUAAAGAGAAAAAAUCUGAGGGUGUCAUCAUCUGCAUAGUGGAGCACAGCAACCUGUGAUUUGUGCCUGCCAAGUAAGUGUUCCUGUCACUCUUCUCUGUUGACAACUCCUGUCCAGCAGCCCUAGGAGAGAGGGUGUGACCAGGACUGGCCUAUCUCAGUGUGUCAUCUCCUUGCCACUGGGGAUUGCCUCGGGGGGCAGACACCUAACUUGAGCAAGCCCAUCUGAGCCCUUCCCUAUUAGAAAGAUUCCUGUUGAAAAAAUUUCUCCCUUGAUGUUGGGGUGGCUGAGCCUGGGCUGCCAGGGGCUGUAUCCCCACCACUGGAGGAGGGCUGUCUACAGAAAGAGAGAGUGAGGCCAGUGGGUGAAGGGGGACAGAGGAGACAAGGGCAGGACAAACAGCCCUGGCCGCUGCCAAUCCCAGGUUCUGUUCUUCUCCAACUUCCCAGAAUCUUCCUUGUGUCAAACCUGUGAGUUAGUUCGGCCUCUUGCCCAGCUAGGUGAGGCAGUAAAUUGCUUUUUAUGCCUCAGCUUGUUCAGUUUGGCUCCUACCUAUGACUAAGAGAGUCUUGACUAAUCCAUUACGCAACUGGGUGGAUGGCAGGGCCACUUACUGAAGCAGGUACGGCCAGCGGAGGUGGAGAAAGUGUAAGCUGUGCGAGCCACAUCAUCCGGGAAGGGGCGGUCGCUCCUCGACGUCAGGAGGAUGUCACAACCCUGACGCGGGUGUUUUACAUCAUCUUUGUCUAGGCUGGGGUGAUGACUAGCCCCCAAGGUCACGAUACACACUCACUCCCUACUCUGGAGUUCACCUUGAGAUUACAUUCUUUCUCAUUAGUGAUCGAAUUGACUUCUAAGUCUUGAAGCCUUCAGCCUUUGAGCUCAGACACAUUCCUUUCCCUCCUGGACUUCUGCCAUCAGCGAUAACCAGGAAAGUCCCAGGGAUGCUGAUUAACAUCCCGAGGAAAGGAAAUGGGACAACCUCCCGUCUCCAAGACUUUCUGCGGACCCCUCACUGCUUUUUCUCAGGGCCACACGGUGUCAGUGCUGAGACACCGACAAGCCUAUGGCGUCGGUGGUGCCCGGCUCCUGUCACGCAGCACUGUAUGUCUUCCAUGGACCUGGAAGGAG
rnacentral:lncRNA from 1 species